AGCUCUGCGCAGUGGCAGUAUCAUAGCCAAUGAGGUUUAUCCGAGGCGCGAUUAUUGCUAAUGGAAAACUUUUCCCAAUACCCUGCCAUAAUGACUAUUAAAAUUUAAAAAAGAGAGAGAGAAAAAAAAUACUCU